ACGGAAGGCAGCAGUGGGGGAUAUUGCACAAUGGAGGAAACUCUGAUGCAGCAAUGCCGCGUGAGGGAAGAAGGUCUUCGGAUUGUAAACCUAAGUAGACAGGGACGAUAAUGACGGUACCUGUAAAGUAAGCUCCGGCUAACUACGUGCCAGCAGCCGCGGUAAUACGUAGGGAGCGAGCGUUGUCCGGAAUUACUGGGUGUAAAGGGUGCGUAGGCGGGUUUGCAAGUCAGGUGUGAAAUACCGGGGCUUAACUCCGGGGCUGCACUUGAAACUGUAGAUCUUGAGUGAAGUAGAGGUAAGUGGAAUUCCCAGUGUAGCGGUGAAAUGCGUAGAUAUUGGGAGGAACACCGGAGGCGAAGGCGGCUCACUGGACGAUUACUGACGUUGAGGCUCGAAAGCGUGGGGAGCAAACAGGAUUAGAUACCCUGGUA
rnacentral:rRNA from 1 species